rnacentral:tRNA from 2 species
ACCCCUCUAGCUCAGAGGAGAGAGCGCCCGGUCGCGACCCGGGAGGCCACAGGUUCGACUCCUGUGAGGGGUACCA